GAACUGGUGUAGUAGUGGCUUGAGUGCUGGACUAUGACUUUGGAGGCCAGGGUUCGAAUCCCUCCUUGCUCA